rnacentral:rRNA from 1 species
GACGAAGGGGGCUAGCGUUGUUCGGAAUUACUGGGCGUAAAGCGCGUGUAGGCGGUUGUUCAAGUCAGGUGUGAAAGCCUUGAGCUCAACUCAAGAAAUGCACUUGAUACUGGAUGACUAGAGGACCGGAGAGGAUAGUGGAAUUCCAGUGUAGUGGUGAAAUACGUAGAGAUUGGGAAGAACACCAGUGGCGAAAGGCGGCUAUCGUGGACGGU